AAAACAUCGCCUCUUGCUAAAACAUAAGAGGUCCAGCCUGCCCAGUGACUUAGUUCAACGGCCGCGGUAUCCUAACCGUGCGAAGGUAGCGUAAUCACUUGCCCUUUAAAUGAGGACUAGUAUGAAUGGCACCACGAAGGUUUUACUGUCUCCUCUCUCCGAUCAGUGAAACUAAUCUCCCCGUGAAGAAGCGGGGAUACCCCUAUAAGACGAGAAGACCCUAUGGAGCUUUAAACAAAGCAACAACUGCUACCAUAAAUUCUAACUUCAGAAAAUAACCAAUAACUUAGCCCUAUGUCUGCUAGUUUUAGGUUGGGGUGACCGCGGAGUAAAAAUCAACCUCCACGAUGAAAGGACUUUUCCUAAGCAAAAAGCCACAACUUUACGCAUCAACAAACUGACAUUAUUUGACCCAAUAUUUUGAUCAACGAACCAAGUUACCCUAGGGAUAACAGCGCAAUCCACUUCAAGAGCUCCUAUCGACAAGUGGGUUUACGACCUCGAUGUUGGAUCAGGGUAUCCGGGUGGUGCAGCCGCCACUUAUGGCUUGUUUGUUCAACAAUUAAAACCCUA
rnacentral:rRNA from 1 species